UAGCCGUAAACGAUACUCGCUAGGUGUCGGCCACGGUGCGACCGUUGUCGGUGCCGUAGGGAAGCCGUGAAGCGAGCCACCUGGGAAGUACGGCCGCAAGGCUGAAACUUAAAGGAAUUGGCGGGGGAGGCACCACAACGGGUGGAGCUUGCGGUUUAAUUUGGAUUCAACGCCGGACAACUCACCAGGAGCGACGGUUACAUGAAGGCCAGGCUGAUGACCUUGCCUGAUUUUCCGUAGAGGAGGUGCAUGGCGUAGUCGUGU
rnacentral:rRNA from 1 species